CCCCUAGAUGUUCUGGGCCGCACGCGCGCUACACUGAACAGUUCAACAAGUCUUAACCUUGGCCGAUAGGUCUGGGUAAUCUUUGAACGCUGUUCGUGAUUGGGAUAGACCUUUGCAAUUAUGGGUCUUCAACGAGGAAUUCCUAGUAAACGCAAGUCGUCAGCUUGCAUUGAUUACGUCCCUGCCCUUUGUACACACCGCCCGUCGCACCUACCGAUUGAAUGGUCCGGUGAAAUCUCGGGACGGCGGCUUGGUCGCUUGCGUCCGACUGCUGAAACUUGAUUAAACCAUAUCAUUUAGAGGAAGGUGAAGUCGUAACA
rnacentral:rRNA from 1 species